GCCAGUGUGGUGUCGUGGUUCGAGUGUUGGACUAUGACUCUGGAGACCAGGGUUCGAAUCUCUGCUUGGCCA
rnacentral:tRNA from 1 species